UGUAUGGACAUUAAGAUCUCUUUAAUCAAAGCAUUGUUUUACAUCUCGGAUUCUUUUUAUAACUGAAUUGAUUUGUUAAUUAAUGUAUUUUGAGCGGUAAAGUUACAGCAGAAAGCAGAUGCAUCUUUUUUGAUGCACAGCGAAAUAUUGCCUUAGUUGAUGUAUUUUUUUAUUACAUGAAGAUGACAUGCACAUUUGUAUCCCUCAAAUUUCCUUCGCUAGUAGAAGAUCAAUAAAAUAAAUGAACAACGUCACAGCCUCACAAUAAGAUGUAUUUGUUACUAAAUUAUAUUCUCCAGGAAUAAACUAUUGCUCCUAGACAAUUUGCAACACAAUCAAGAGACCAACACAUACAUAUUAUAAAUACAUUUAAAUUAAAAACAUUUAUUCCAAAGAGUUAAUUACUUUAAACAUAGGGGCCGAAGCAGAUACCAAUAUUAGGGAGUCAAAAAUUACAGAACUUAAUUUAUCAACCGAUAUUCAAAAUAUAGAUAUAUCGUUAUUCUGUGUGUAUAUUGUGUGGGUGGAGCAUCUCUAUUGGAUUUCAGCUCUUACCUUCCAGCAAUGCUUUGGGCCUGGUGCGUUCGACAUUCAAGUUAUAAGCUAAAGGUACCAAUUACACCCGGAACAUGAUGUAAAGUUGUGUUGGGAGAGUUAACGUUGUGCUCAGUUAACGUAUUAAGAGGUUCAUCCAGCACAGUUUAUUUACAUUUAUAUAUCAACACCAUUUCACCAAGCAAAUUGACAUAACAUUUUAUAAAAUAUAUAAUUUGCCUGGCAACAUUCCCUUCAUCAAAAAUUAUUACAAGCCAACAGAAAUAUAAUUCAACUUUCCAUUUAGACUCUGUUUCAUCAAAAAAAAAAAAAAAAAGAUUAUGGCAAACAAUCUUCUGAAGCUGUUUCACAUUCGUCCAAAACCAUCGCAAAA